rnacentral:rRNA from 1 species
AGUGAACGCUGGCGGUAGGCCUAACACAUGCAAGUCGAACGGCAGCACAGUAAGAGCUUGCUCUUACGGGUGGCGAGUGGCGGACGGGUGAGGAAUACACCGGAACUUAUUUUUUGGGGGGGGUUAAGGAAGGGAAGCUAAGCCCAUAACGGAACACCUCCUACGGGGGAAGGCAGGGGAACUUUGGGCCUUUGGCGAUGGAAUGGCCGCUUGUCGGAUUGGCUAGUUGGCGGGGUAAAGGCCAACCAAGGCGCGGAUCCGUAGCUGGUCUGAGAGGAUGGUCAGCCACACUGGAACUGAGACACGGUCCAGACUCCUACGGGAGGCAGCAGUGGGGAAUAUGGGACAAUGGGCGCAAGCCUGAUCCAGCCAUACCGCGUGGGUGAAGAAGGCCUUCGGGUUGUAAAGCCCUUUUGUUGGGAAAGAAAAGCAGCAGGUUAAUACCCCGCUGUUCUGACGGUACCCAAAGAAUAAGCACCGGCUAACUUCGUG